rnacentral:rRNA from 1 species
CAUGGCUCAGAUUGAACGCUGGCGGCAGGCCUAACACAUGCAAGUCGAGCGGUAACAGGAGAAAGCUUGCUUUCUUGCUGACGAGCGGCGGACGGGUGAGUAAUGUAUGGGGAUCUGCCCGAUAGAGGGGGAUAACUACUGGAAACGGUGGCUAAUACCGCAUAAUGUCUACGGACCAAAGCAGGGGCUCUUCGGACCUUGCACUAUCGGAUGAACCCAUAUGGGAUUAGCUAGUAGGUGGGGUAAAGGCUCACCUAGGCGACGAUCUCUAGCUGGUCUGAGAGGAUGAUCAGCCACACUGGGACUGAGACACGGCCCAGACUCCUACGGGAGGCAGCAGUGGGGAAUAUUGCACAAUGGGCGCAAGCCUGAUGCAGCCAUGCCGCGUGUAUGAAGAAGGCCUUAGGGUUGUAAAGUACUUUCAGCGGGGAGGAA